rnacentral:rRNA from 1 species
UGCCAGCCGCCGCGGUACUACGUAGGGCGCAAGCGUUAUCCGGAAUUAUUGGGCGUAAAGCGCUCGCAGGUGGUUCGUUGCGUCGUGCGUGAAAGACCCUGGCUCAACUGGGGAGUGUCGUGCGAUACGGGCGGACUAGAGGCCAGUAGGGGGAUGCGGAAUUCCGGGUGUAGUGGUGGAAUGCGUAGAGAUCCGGAGGAACACCAGCGGCGAAGGCGGCAUCCUGGACUGGUCCUGACACUCAGGAGCGAAAGCGUGGGGAGCGAUCCGGAUUAGAUA